UGGGGAAUUUUGGACAAUGGGCGCAAGCCUGAUCCAGCCAUGCCGCGUGCAGGAAGAAGGCCUUCGGGUUGUAAACUGCUUUUGUCAGGGAAGAAAUCCUUUGGGUUAAUACCUCGAAGGGAUGACGGUACCUGAAGAAUAAGCACCGGCUAACUACGUGCCAGCAGCCGCGGUAAUACGUAGGGUGCGAGCGUUAAUCGGAAUUACUGGGCGUAAAGCGUGCGCAGGCGGCUUUGCAAGACAGAUGUGAAAUCCCCGGGCUCAACCUGGGAACUGCAUUUGUGACUGCAAGGCUAGAGUGCGGCAGAGGGAGAUGGAAUUCCGCGUGUAGCAGUGAAAUGCGUAGAUAUGCGGAGGAACACCGAUGGCGAAGGCAAUCUCCUGGGCCUGCACUGACGCUCAUGCACGAAAGCGU
rnacentral:rRNA from 1 species